UGGGUAAUUGCUGCCGAGCGUAGCUCGGCAGCACACUAAUCUCUACACGUGGUGUGCUUACCACGUGACCGCCGAGUUUAUAGCCGCUACAAUCUCGAUUUAUGUCAUUCUGUCAUCCACGGACGGGCCAAAACUAGCUGUUUUGAUAUUAUUUUUUUGUUCCCGGGGGGGUUUGUUCACAACAUGGCGACUGUUAUAAACAGACAGAAAUAUAAAAAUCAUAAAAUAAUGCGAAUUUCCAUAAAAAUUCCGAGUAAUAUUUGUGAAGAUGAAUGGGUAAAUAAAGCACGGUGUUAUUUUGUGUCUCUGGCGCAAGAAUGAUCGACAAUAUUUUGAAUAAUUCAGGUAAGGAUGGCUUUAUUUCGUUCUCGUAUAGUGAUGUAGUCGUGCCGUGUGCCCUGUCUGGUGAUAUAUUUUAUAAUACGUGAAGGCAUUUAUAUUUAAAUCUGCUGUUUAUACUUGUUUAGUCACUUUAGUGUAUUAAACUUCGAUAUACACUAGAGGCAUUGAAACAAAAUGAUUUCAAGAAUAUAUCGGCAAUUAUAAUACCCACUGAAUCACUGAUCUAUUCCCGACCAAAUCGACAGUAAUGAUUAAUGCCUUUAUGCUGAUACAAGAAGCAAAUGAACUUUUAGUUUAUUUGUUUGUUAUGUCACUUUAUAUGUGCAAAGCCAAAGGCGGUGAGUAUAUAAUAGUGUUCGGUACGGUUCUAUUUCUAAAUGUUUAUAGUUUAAAAACAAACGCGGGAUGUUGUUAAAUCAGGCUUAACAAGAUUCCUAGAGCUACCCAGUGUGGAUUGUUGUCUGCAUAUAUGGACUUAUCAGCAAUUACAUGUAAUAUAGCAUAUCAACUGACUUUUGUAUAAGAUAUGACUUGUAUAAGGCCUCAGUUAUAUAUAAAGCCUAUAAACAUGAUUCUACUGAC